UACAUGGGCUCCAAGCGCUAUCCGGAUUUAUUGGGCGUAAAGGGUCUCCAGGUGGUCUGGUUAGUCGGGCGUUAAAUUCCGCUGCUUAACGGCGGAGCUGCGUUCGAAACGGCCAAACUCGAGGGAUGGAGAGGGAGUAGGAACUCACGGUGUAGGGGUGAAAUCCGUUGAUCCAUUGAAGACCACCAGUGGCGAAGGCGGCUUGCCAGAAUGCGCUCGACGGUGAGGGAUGAAAGCUGGGGGAGCAAACCGG
rnacentral:rRNA from 1 species